CCUACGGGUUGCACCAGUAGGGAAUCUUCCGCAAUGGACGAAAGUCUGACGGAGCAACGCCGCGUGAAUGAUGAAGGCUUUCGGGUCGUAAACUCUGUUGUUAGGGAAGAACAAGUGCUAGUUGAAUAAGCUGGCACCUUGACGGUACCUAACCAGAAAGCCACGGCUAACUACGUGCCAGCAGCCGCGGUAAUACGUAGGUGGCAAGCGUUAUCCGGAAUUAUUGGGCGUAAAGCGCGCGCAGGUGGUUUCUUAAGUCUGAUGUGAAAGCCCACGGCUCAACCGUGGAGGGUCAUUGGAAACUGGGAGACUUGAGUGCAGAAGAGGAAAGUGGAAUUCCAUGUGUGGCGGUGAAAUGCGUAGAGAUAUGGAGGAACACCAGUGGCGAAGGCGACUUUCUGGUCUGUAACUGACACUGAGGCGCGAAAGCGUGGGGAGCAAACAGGAUUAGAUACCCCCAGUAGUC
rnacentral:rRNA from 1 species